AGGAGCCGUAUGAGGCUGAAGUCUCAUGUACGGUUCUGUAAUAGCGAUGGGAACAGUGAUGUUAUCACCGACUAUAAU
rfam:Nelumbo nucifera chloroplast, complete genome